UAAACGUUUAAACUGUAUUGCCUAUUUUCACCAUGAAUUUUUUAAAGAACUUCCUAUUCGUCUUGGUCAUUUUAGCCAUUUGUAUGUUUGCUACUGAUGCUAUCUAUCAAUCGAAAAUCAGAGAUCCAAAUGCAAAUCGACCCACAGGCAAUAAGAUACUUACAGACGAAAUGAAGAAAGCCAGUGGCAAUAAAACAAAUAAAACGAAUAAAACGAAUAAGCAAGGAAAAAAAUCAUAAAUGAAUAAAUUCAACUUUCAUUUAGUUGAAAGUUCUGAUUAUGGCAAAUGUUGUAUUAUGUUUUUUUGCAUUAAUAAUUUGUAGUUUUAAAGUUUUUUUUAUUGAAAAAAAGAAUUAAUUUAUUUCAAUAAAGCAGUAGCCAAUCUUGGAUAAA